UCCGUAGGGUGCAAGCGUUAAUCGGAAUUACUGGGCGUAAAGCGUGCGCAGGCGGUGAUGUAAGGCAGGUGUGAAAUCCCCGGGCUUAACCUGGGAACUGCAUUUGUGACUGCAUCGCUGGAGUGCGGCAGAGGGGGAUGGAAUUCCGCGUGUAGCAGUGAAAUGCGUAGAUAUGCGGAGGAACACCGAUGGCGAAGGCAAUCCCCUGGGCCUGCACUGACGCUCAUGCACGAAAGCGUGGGGAGCAAACGGG
rnacentral:rRNA from 1 species